GAUGAACGCUGGCGGCGUGCCUAAUACAUGCAAGUCGAGCGAACAGACGAGGAGCUUGCUCCUCUGACGUUAGCGGCGGACGGGUGAGUAACACGUGGAUAACCUACCUAUAAGACUGGGAUAACUUCGGGAAAACGGAGCUAAUACCGGAUAAUAUAUUGAACCGCAUGGUUCAAUAGUUAAAGACGGUUUUGCUGUCACUUAUAGAUGGAUCCGCGCCGCAUUAGCUAGUUGGUAAGGUAACGGCUUACCAAGGCAACGAUGCGUAGCCGACCUGAGAGGGUGAUCGGCCACACUGGAACUGAGACACGGUCCAGACUCCUACGGGAGGCAGCAGUAGGGAAUCUUCCGCAAUGGGCGAAAGCCUGACGGAGCAACGCCGCGUGAGUGAUGAAGGUCUUCGGAUCGUAAAACUCUGUUAUUAGGGAAGAACAAAUGUGUAAGUAACUAUGCACGUCUUGACGGUACCUAAUCAGAAAGCCACGGCUAACUACGUG
rnacentral:rRNA from 1 species